rnacentral:rRNA from 1 species
GAAGGGACCUAGCGUAGUUCGGAAUUACUGGGCUUAAAGAGUUCGUAGGUGGUUGAAAAAGUUGGUGGUGAAAUCCCACAGCUUAACUCUGGAACUGCCAUCAAAACUUUUCAGCUAGAGUUUGAUAGAGGAAAGCAGAAUUUCUAGUGUAGAGGUGAAAUUCGUACAUAUUAGAAAGAAUACCAAUUGCGAAGGCAGCUUUCUGGAUCAUUACUGACACUGAGGAACGAAAGCAUGGGUAGCGAAGAGGAUUAGAUACCCUCGUAGUCCAGGCCGUAAACGAUGUGUGUUACACNUUGGAAAUUUAUUUNCAGUGUCGCAGCGAAAGCGAUAAACACACCGCCUGNGGAGUUCACCGCCAGGUUAAAACUCANAUGAAUUGACGGGGACCCGCCCAAGUUNUGGACNNGUGGUUUANUUCCAAGAUACUCGCAUAAACCUUACCNACACNUGACNUGUUCGUCCCGACCUANCAAAUUAUAUUUUCCGUUCCGCCNGACAAAACNCNUGUGCCUNCNUUGN